CCUCCUUUUCUUGGCAUCUCUGAACUCUCCCCAUGUUUAUGAGAUGAAUGCAACCAGGAGGAAGAUAAAUAUGAUGAACCUUCGGUGUCAGGGUUCUUAUGCCCUGUUCCCAUCCUCUAGCAUCAUUACAGGG
rnacentral:snoRNA from 1 species